rnacentral:ncRNA from 2 species
CUCUUAUCCUGAGUAGGCGGAGGGACAGGCCCGAAGAAGCCCAGCAACCAACACUUUAAAGCCAUGAGUGAAAAGGUGCUAACCUGCAAGGCUUUGCCUUGGACGAUAAGAG